GCCCCAAUGGCGCAGUGGUGCAGCGCCUGGUGGCUUUUCGAGUUUGGCUAACUAGAGGUCGUCGGUUCGAAUCCGGCUUGGGUCG
rnacentral:tRNA from 1 species